ACAGCGAUGUGAUGCUAAUCUCAAAAAGCCGAUCGUAGUCCGGAUUGGAGUCUGCAACUCGACUCCAUGAAGUCGGAAUCGCUAGUAAUCGCGGAUCAGAAUGCCGCGGUGAAUACGUUCCCGGGCCUUGUACACACCGCCCGUCACACCAUGGGAGUUUGUUGCACCAGAAGUAGCUAGCCUAACUGCAAAGAGGGCGGUUACCACGGUGUGGCCGAUGACUGGGGUGAAGUCGUAACAAGGUAGCCGUAGGGGAACCUGCGGCUGGAUCACCUCCUUAA
rnacentral:rRNA from 1 species